UCUACGGGAGGCAGCAGUGGGGAAUAUUGCACAAUGGGGGAAACCCUGAUGCAGCGACGCCGCGUGAGUGAAGAAGUAUUUCGGUAUGUAAAGCUCUAUCAGCAGGAACGAGACAAGACGGUACCUGACUAAGAAGCCCCGGCUAACUACGUGCCAGCAGCCGCGGUAAUACGUAGGGGGCAAGCGUUAGCCGGAAUCACUGGGUUUAAAGGGAGCGUAGACGGCUGAGCAAGCCUGAAGUGAAAGGCGGGGGCCCAACCCCCGGACUGCUUGGGGAACUGUACGGCUGGAGUGCCGGAGAGGUAAGUGGAAUUCCUAGUGUAGCGGUGAAAUGCGUAGAUAUUAGGAGGAACACCAGUGGCGAAGGCGGCUUACUGGACUGUAACUGACGUUGAGGCUCGAAAGCGUGGGAAGCAAACAGGAUUAGAUACCCUGGUAGUC
rnacentral:rRNA from 1 species